CACACACACACACACACACACACACACACACACACACAUUCGUACGCACUGAAACAACUUCCGUACCUCACGAAAACAUAUUUAAACAGAUGGAAAAAACUAUCGCAGAACACAGUGUCACGUAGCAACUGGUCUUUACGGUCGUUUGAAUCAACAGGUCAGUUUGGGGGACAAAAGGAGGGUUCAGUUUUUACUGACUUCCCAUCUGACAGUUUAAAUGUUUAUGACCGUUUGAAUCAACAGGACACGCACGCACACACACACACACGCACGCACACACACACACACACACACAUACACACACACACGCACACACACACACACACACACACACACACCAUUACCUCUGCUUUACCAUGUUAUUAGACAUUGGUUUAACUCCAUUUAAGCAUUUAAACGUUAAAAGCAUUGCACUUGUACGACGUUGUAAUACUUUUUUUUUACCAGCCGAUGACGACGAAGUGAAAGACGAUGAACUUUGCUUAAACAGUCUUACAAAGUUGGAAGAUGAUUAUCGAGGUGUGUUUAAACCUUCGAAUUAUUUAAUAUUGUGUGUAUUCAUUAUUUUGUUUUAUAGAGGAUUUGCCGUAAGAUCCUAACGCGAUCGUUUUAACACAAUCGCAGUCUGGUGAGUCAAAUGAUUCUCAUUUUACAAGAAAAAAAACAUGCGGUAUACGAUACAUAUAUACAUAUAUUUACUUACAUCUCCGGCUCGCUGGUCUCCCUUAAAGCUGGCGGGUCCGUCAACGGCCGUUCCAGGCAGAGGAGAAGGCUUGAUUGUGCCAAAGACUCCAGACAUCGAAUCCUUGCUCCGAGGGGAAAUCAUCGAAAACGACGGUGAAUGUCCAACAGGCACCCGCUAUUGGUAACACUGGACAAGUCGGAUAUCCUUGCUUGGAUCCUUUUAAAGUUGCCCGAUAAACUGCUGAGAGUUGAUCUCUCCUCUUGUCCAAAGGUUUUUCGUUCAUUUUUACUUGUAAUACUGCCACUAGGGUUGAUGUAGUAGCUCCACAACAUAACCUUAAAGCCUGUGACUGGAUCCGGUCUAUUUUCCCAAGUCAUGUUUUUGAAGCAGAUUGGUAAAUAAUGCAUCCGUAAUCAAUAACAGAUGGAAUUAAAGUUAUAAAUAUAUACAUGUAUUGUUUUCAACGUUAACCUAUCAGCCCCCCAAUCAUUACCCCUCAAAGACCUCAUUAUAUUUAACACCUUUUUACUUUUUCCCCUAUUUUUUUAUUUUCCGGAAGGAACACUCCUGAAGGAAUAAAUAAAGUACUAUCUAAUCUAAUCUAAUCAAAUCUAUUUUGCUGAUGUGGGUUGACUAGUUCAUAUUUUUAUCAAACCAUAUUCCUAAAUAUUUAAAUACUUGUACCUCUUCUAUAUUUUCACCUUAGAGUUUUUAUUUGGAGCUUGUUUGGUACUUUUGUCUUUGUAAAAUGUAUGACUUUUGUCUUUCCAACAGAGAAUCUUAAACCUCAA